rnacentral:misc_RNA from 1 species
AUUUCAAAACUUGUAACACACACAUCAAAUUUGCCUGCAACCAGUAAAUUUUCCCGUAUGUGUUUCCUCUCAUCAGGAUUACCAAGAAACUUUACAGCUCGCAAAACUGGACAAAAACGACGAAUUUCAUUCAUCCAGUUACCAAGAGUAGACUUUGGGGCAACCACAGUUAUUCCUCUAAAUUCGUGCAGGUAACCCAACAAGGAGAUGGUUUGUAAAGUUUUACCAAGACCCAUUUCAUCUGCAAGAAUUCCAUUUAUACCAUUCUCAUAGAGUCUUAU